AUACUUACCUGGCAGGGGAGAUACCAUGAUCAAAAAGGUGGUUUUCUAGAGCAAGGGUUAUCCAUUGAACUCCAGAUGUGCUGACCCCUGCAAUUGCCCCAAAUGGGUAAUCCAGUUGACUCAUUUGUGGUAGUGGGGGACUCUGU
rnacentral:snRNA from 1 species